AGAGUUUGAUCAUGGCUCAGGACGAACGCUGGCGGCGUGCCUAACACAUGCAAGUCGAGCGAUGAAAUCCUUCGGGAUGGAUUAGCGGCGGACGGGUGAGUAACACGUGGGUAACCUGCCUCAAAGAGGGGAAUAGCCUCCCGAAAGGGAGAUUAAUACCGCAUAAUAUGUUUUGAUCGCAUGAUUAAAACAUCAAAGGAAUUUUCUUCGGAUUAUUUCACUUUGAGAUGGACCCGCGGCGCAUUAGCUAGUUGGUGAGGUAACGGCCCACCAAGGCGACGAUGCGUAGCCGACCUGAGAGGGUGAUCGGCCACAUUGGAACUGAGACACGGUCCAGACUCCUACGGGAGGCAGCAGUGGGGAAUAUUGCGCAAUGGGGGAAACCCUGACGCAGCAACGCCGCGUGAAUGAUGAAGGCCUUCGGGUUGUAAAGUUCUGUCUUCUGGGACGAUAAUGACGGUACCAGAGGAGGAAGCCACGGCUAACUACGUGCCAGCAGCCGCGGUAAUACGUAGGUGGCAAGCGUUGUCCGGAUUUACUGGGCGUAAAGGAUGCGUAGGCGGACAUUUAAGUCAGAUGUGAAAUACCCGAGCUUAACUUGGGUGCUGCAUUUGAAACUGGGUGUCUAGAGUGCAGGAGAGGUAAGUGGAAUUCCUAGUGUAGCGGUGAAAUGCGUAGAGAUUAGGAAGAACACCAGUGGCGAAGGCGACUUACUGGACUGUAACUGACGCUGAGGCAUGAAAGCGUGGGGAGCAAACAGGAUUAGAUACCCUAGUAGUCC
rnacentral:rRNA from 1 species